rnacentral:rRNA from 3 species
UCGUAGUCCGGAUUGGAGUCUGCAACUCGACUCCAUGAAGUCGGAAUCGCUAGUAAUCGUGGAUCAGAAUGCCACGGUGAAUACGUUCCCGGGCCUUGUACACACCGCCCGUCACACCAUGGGAGUGGGUUGCAAAAGAAGUAGGUAGCUUAACCUUCGGGAGGGCGCUUACCACUUUGUGAUUCAUGACUGGGGUGAAGUCGUAACAAGGUAACCGUAGGGGAACCUGCGGUUGGAUCACCUCCUUACCUUAAAGAAGC